CGGGGCCUGGGUCUCCACCUGGAGGGGAGAGAGUAGUCAGAGACAUAGAGAGAAGGUCUGCACCGGGGCCUGGGUCUCCACCUGGAGGGAGAGAGUAGUCAGAGACAUAGAGAGAAGGUCUGCACCGGGGCCUGGGUCUCCACCUGGAGGGAGAGAGUAGUCAGAGACAGAGAGAGAAGGUCUGCACCGGGGCCUGGGUCUCCACCUGGAGGGGAGAGAGUAGUCAGAGACAGAGAGAGAAGGUCUGCACCGGGGCCUGGGUCUCCACCUGGAGGGGAGAGAGUAGUCAGAGACAUAGAGAGAAGGUCUGCACCGGGGCCUGGGUCUCCACCUGGAGGGGAGAGAGUAGUCAGAGACAUAGAGAGAAGGUCUGCACCGGGGCCUGGGUCUCCACCUGGAGGGAGAGAGUAGUCAGAGACAUAGAGAGAAGGUCUGCACCGGGGCCUGGGUCUCCACCUGGAGGGAGAGAGUAGUCAGAGACAGAGAGAGAAGGUCUGCACCGGGGCCUGGGUCUCCACCUGGAGGGGAGAGAGUAGUCAGAGACAGAGAGAGAAGGUCUGCACCGGGGCCUGGGUCUCCACCUGGAGGGAGAGAGUAGUCAGAGACAGAGAGAGAAGGUCUGCACCGGGGCCUGGGUCUCCACCUGGAGGGGAGAGAGUAGUCAGAGACAUAGAGAGAAGGUCUGCACCGGGGCCUGGGUCUCCACCUGGAGGGGAGAGAGUAGUCAGAGACAUAGAGAGAAGGUCUGCACCGGGGCCUGGGUCUCCACCUGGAGGGAGAGAGUAGUCAGAGACAUAGA